CCCACGCCACACUGACGACCUGCUCCGCGUGUCACUCAGUCGGGGGGUGGCUAGACGCCUACGAUGUUAUGCCUUCGACCGCUGAACUACGGGAGUACCCCCGGACAGUCGGCGGAGGGAUGGAUAUCAUAGUGACCGAUUUA
rnacentral:SRP_RNA from 1 species